AAGCAUAUUAUUAAGCGGAGGAAAAGAAACUAACCAGGAUUCCCUCAGUAAGGGCGACUGAAGCGGGAAUAGCCCAAAUGAAAUCGACGCAAGUCGAAUUGUGGUUUGGAGACGCUUGCAUUACGGGCCGGGCCAAGUCCCUUGGAACAGGGCAGCAGAGAGGGUGAUACUCCCGUCCGCCUGGCCUUGGAGCAUGUGUCCACGAGUCGAGUUGUUUGGGAUUGCAGCUCAAAGUGGGUGGUAAAUUCCAUCUAAGGCUAAAUAUUGGUGGGAGACCGAUAGCGUACAAGUACCGUGAGGGAAAGAUGCAAAGAACUUUGAAAAGAGAGUUAAAGAGUACCUGAAAUUGCUGAAACGGAAGCGAAGGAAACCAGUGCCAGGUGCGUUAUAUUUCUUCAGCCGCUUGCGGUUGGGGCAUUGUGACCACCGUUGCCAGGCUUGGUUGGUGGGGCUGGAAACCGCAGCUUGACCGACUGAGUUUGGCGAAAUGGUUUUCUUUUUCCCGUCUUGAAA
rnacentral:rRNA from 1 species